GGAAGUUGUAAAUAGAAAACCUUUGUAGCCUGUGCAUUUGGGUUUAGAAUAACCUAAGUGUGGCAUAACACCCCAUUGAGUUUAAAGUUUGAAUUCGCUUCCG